GACGAACGCUGGCGGCGUGCUUAACACAUGCAAGUCGAGCGGUAAGGCCCUUUCGGGGGUACACGAGCGGCGAACGGGUGAGGUAACACGUGGGUGACCUGCCCUCAGCUCUGGGGAUAAGCCGUAGGGAAACCGGGUCUAAUACUGGAUACUGACUCCAUGACGCAUGUUGUGGGGUGGAAAGCCUUGUGCGGCUGAGGAU
rnacentral:rRNA from 1 species